GAAGAAUAUAUCUGCGUGUUGCAGGGACAAUAAGUGAAGGAGGCAGGGAAAUGGAAGAAAGCCUUAAGAUCACAGUAACAGUCUUGCCCAGUAGCUUCACUGGCAGGAUAAAAAUGGCAGGCCGAGAGGUUUUGAAAAGUGGUGAUUUGGGACUGUGCUGCCUCAGGAUCAAAGGAAAUUCAGAGAGGGAGGGAAAUCUUCACUACGGGGUCGAAGUGGGCAGCAUUUAAACUUCUUCCUUGAAAAUACUGUGGAACUGCUGACCAUACAAAAACGUGCGUGCAAAGUAACACAAGAUCUGGAGCGGUUA